rnacentral:rRNA from 1 species
UACAGAGGUCCCAAGCGUUGUUCGGAUUCAUUGGGCGUAAAGGGUGCGUAGGCGGCGCGGUAAGUCGGGUGUGAAACUCUCGGGGGCUUAACUCCGAAACUGCAUUCGAUACUGCCGUGCUUGAGGACUGGAGAGGAGACUGGAAUUUACGGUGUAGCGGUGAAAUGCGUAGAUAUCGUAAGGAAGACCAGUGGGCGAAGGCGGGUCUCUGGACAGUUCUGACG